UGACUUUCAAAGAUUGUUGUUAAAAUGAAUAUUAAGAGAACGGUUCGAUUAGUAAAGUUAGAUUGGUACUCACUUCCUUCUCGAACACCAUGCAACAAACAUCGCAAGUGUUAAGGAAUGUCGAGUUAUAAACCUGAUGAUGGUAGGCGGGGCCUGUUGAAACGUCGUUUAAAAAUAUAAAUGAUAAAUAAAAGUGCAUUAUUCUAUCCCAGAUCGUCACCCAACGAAAUCAAAUCGGUAUAAUAUCUACCAACACGGUCACGAACUUCAAUUCACCUAAUUGUGCAAUGGCAUCUUAUAAUGUAUUUUCUCAAUCAUUCGAGUAAUCGGAUUUCUGCACAAACAGUUGGAAAAAUGAAUUGAGGUGGUUCUUACAAACAGAAACGUCAAAACUCACCCUGGGUGCAUGUUCAUGUUCAUGGUCAUAUUCAUCGAUACGUUGACGGACAUCGCCGGUCCAG
rnacentral:lncRNA from 1 species